UGGGAUCUCAAGGUAGAUGUUAUGUCCAGACAGAGGCUGCUGUGAGCUGAAUCGUCUGCUUCCCAAAAUUCCUAUGUUGACACCUUAACCCCCAGCACCUAAGAAUGAGACUAUAUUUGGAGAUAGCAUCAUCACAGAGUCUCAGGAAUGUCUUUAUCAGCAGUAUGAAAAUGAACCAAUUCAUCCCACUUCACUGUUUGAAGAAAAACUGCUGGCUCUAUGGGGUCUUCAAUUUACUGAAUGAUUCCUAGAUGCCUGGCCCUAAUUCACUCGAGAGUCAAGAAAGGUGCCACCUUAUGGUGCUCACUGGGCGGUUGUGGAUGUCUAACCUCAGUGCUAGUCACACAGAACCUGAAGCCAGGCUGGCUGCUCCUGUAAAUGGCAUGGAAUCCCAGGGAAUAUCCUGCAUUCUCAGUGUCCAGCUGUCUGAUGCCACAGUUGUUUAUGAUGAUCGAGGACAACUACGUUUUUCUGAGGAGACUUACCACCUCAUGGCUGAGGCAUUCACAAAAAAAUAGCUCACGUUAUGUUUUGCUUAUUUGCAAGCCAACAAGAUGAGGUCCCUGAGGAUGUCUAACUGAUUCUGUCCACUCGGGAAUGUUUCGGACUUGGUCUUCCUUUUAAUAUACUUUAUAAAUCAUUUUGUAAUUUUUACCUCCUACCCAUUCUGUAACAGGUAACACAACUGACCAGAAGAAAAACAGCCUAGAUCCUGAGCAUUCAGCCCGUGCCUUCACACAACAAACACCACCUGAGUCCCAUCAAAGCCUGUGUUGUUUCCCAACAUUCACCAUUGAGACAUAUUCCAGAGCAGCCUCUCAAAAUCACCUAAACAAGAUGGAACAAGGUAAAUUAUUUCAAAACUAAAAGAAAACAUAGAAAUGCUGGGCCAUUCAAUCCGGGGAAUUACAGAAUGUUUAGCAC